UUUAGAAGAGAGAUAUCACCGUGGUAAGCAAUGCAGGUUUGAUAGCAACACCAGCUCAGACGGUAAUUCCACAGGACGUACCGGUACCUCAGUCACAUCUUUGUCAUGUUCGAAGCUGCUAGGAAAGGCUAGCAGAAGACUCACCAGAAAGGUUCUGAAGAUACAAACAAAGAGCCUGAAAUGUUGGAAACUUUAGGGUCAAGCAUUGGUAUUAGAGCCUUGGAAAGAGAAUAGAGUUGUCAGUCAAUUUACAUUACACUGGAAACUAUAAUAAAUUGGGCAAAUGCAAUGCAAAGAAAACUGCUGACAGCAGAUAUGUUCCUAAAAUGUAUGUAGAAUGAUGUAGUUGUUAAUUUAAUUAGUUGCUUAAAGCCAGACAAUUUCUUUCCAAAAAUUCUGGCCUGUCAAAAGUUAACGAUCAUCUUUCUUAAUCUAGCAAAUUAAAUAUGACACUGAAUGACUUUAAAUAACACUGACACUUCCAUAGGAAUGUUGAUAUGAAGCAUGGUAUUUAAUUUUUUAUGUAAAAUAUGAAUGCACAGAAAGACAUGAAUGAUGCAUAGUAUGAAAACAUGAUUCAAAAAUAAAAAUAUGACUGGUGAAAUAAAAACUUUAGAGAAAUGUCA
ensembl:lncRNA novel transcript